CAGCUCUUGCCUUGAGAGCUAACAUACGAUCAAGGUCCCUAAUUAACCUCUUGGAGGACCAUCAGUACUUGAGCUUCACCAUACGGACUUUGAUGUACUGCAUAGAUUGAAACAAGCAUUCAGAAACCUAUCAGCGAAAACAAGUCGGUGUAUACAGCUACCAGUUGGAUCUGCCACUGUCACAUUGGCUGUUGAGAUGAAUGCUGUCAGCUACGUACUAAUUCUGAGUCCUUCUGCCCUAUGGAAUGAUGUACACACCAUGCCGUUUCUGCCUGGAGCAGGACCUGGUGCCCUACACAGU